UCCACUUUAAUUUAAAGUAUAAAUUCUACGGGAGCUAACAGAAAAUUAGAGAGAUACAUAUUAUGUUAUGGCUGAAGGUCUUUAUAAUAUUAUGAAUGCAUUUAUGACUAUCAAAAUUUGAAGUUUUAAAAUAUUUUGAUGAAGAAGCUAUUAAAAUAGGAGUUACAUAAAAUACUUAAUUAUUAAAAUUUUAACGAGCAUUAUGAUUGGCGAACAGGCUGGCCGCCAAAGGCAGAAAGUAAAAGAUAAAUUGAUUAUUCAUUCAUCUUUAUAUAUAUCUAAAGCGACGGUAGAAAUUUUUCUUUGGGUGAUCUACAUAUUUAAUUAAAUGUAAUUACGUAUUUGAUAUCUAAUUUGUUAUUAAUAAACAUUUGUUAUGAUUAAAUAUUCGUAUAGUAUUAAAGUAAAAGGAAUGCAAGACUGAAUCACAAACAAUAUUUUUUAAAAAUGAAGAAUCAAUAACAUAAUCCCAGAUAAAGCGCACUGCAUUGACAUUUGGAGCAAAUUUGCACGUUAUUAUUUAAAUCAUAUAGCAAAAUAAAAUUGUUAAAAUAAGUGAAAAUAAUAAUUUUUAUUAAACUUGUCUCUUAAACGAUGUUUUACCUUAGUGGACACGAAAUGAAAUUAAUUAAAUCGAAUAUUAAAGUAUUUUGUAAGAUCAAAUUUGAAUUGUUCACUUAAGUAUAAAAUGUAAGAAGACAAAUAUGUAUAUAAUUUUUAAACUGUCUAAUAUGCCUUUGACCUUCAGGAAAUAUGAACCAGAAAGUUCCCACUUAUUCCACACUCCAGUCUAUCCCUCUGAGAAUUUGAAUAAAUCAAGUAGUAAGACGGUUAUAUUUGGCUUAUAAACAAGCUACAUAUAUGAUUUGUAAAUAGAGGUUUCAACGCAAUGAUUGUUUUUCCGGGAAAAAUGAGUGAUGCUUUAGAAUUUCGACAAUAUUUUAUUUGGAAAAGAAAUUUACAGUUUACUGCAGAUUGAAUGUGGAAUGCAUUUAAAUCUCGGUUAAGAAAAGUUCCCAGAAAUAUUACAGUUGCUCUUCAAUUUAAUUCGGAGCUUUUACAGGCUAUUAUAAAACGAUCGAUGAUAUCAGAUUUUAGGAUAUUUCUGAUAAUAGUAGCUGCUUUAGUAAUGGGUGUAAUUAAGAUAAAUUUAUAAUUAACUGUACAAUCAUAACAUGGGUUUUUCAUUGUGUUGAUAUCAGUGAUCGUUUUGUAAUCGCCUUCAGUCGUGAGCCUCGGGAGUAAGGUCUGCUGGCUGUUGGAAUCAUAUACUUGAAAUAGUGUUAGAGAGACUUUUGGCGCCAAUAAGUAAGCAGAACGCUCCACCUACUAAUUUUGUAGCGCCACCAAGUGGUAAAAAUGAUGUAACCUUUUAGUGUGUGUUGUGAAUAAAGCAAUGGAGAUACAGUG